rnacentral:rRNA from 1 species
UACGUAGGGCGCGAGCGUUGUCCGGAAUUAUUGGGCGUAAAGAGCUCGUAGGCGGCUUGUCACGUCGGAUGUGAAAGCCCGGGGCUUAACCCCGGGUCUGCAUUCGAUACGGGCAGGCUAGAGUGUGGUAGGGGAGAUCGGAAUUCCUGGUGUAGCGGUGAAAUGCGCAGAUAUCAGGAGGAACACCGAUGGCGAAGGCAGGUCUCUGGGCCGAUACUGACGCUGAGGAGCGAAAGCGUGGGGAGCGAACAGG